rnacentral:rRNA from 1 species
UACGGAGGGGGCUAGCGUUGUUCGGAAUUACUGGGCGUAAAGCGCAUGUAGGCGGCUUUGUAAGUUAGAGGUGAAAGCCCAGGGCUUAACUCUGGAAUUGCCUUUAAGACUGCAUCGCUAGAAUCGUGGAGAGGUGAGUGGAAUUCCGAGUGUAGAGGUGAAAUUCGUAGAUAUUCGGAAGAACACCAGUGGCGAAGGCGACUCACUGGACACGUAUUGACGCUGAGGUGCGAAAGCGUGGGGAGCAAACAGG